CUGACUUUGAGAACUUUCCCUUAUUCUGGGGUUUACCCUUCCCUGAUUUUCCUUUCAGGACCCCAGAAGUGAGGCCAAGACGCCCCUGUCACAAGAGCCAGAAGAAAGGCUGUCACCAAGGAGUAUUUUGUAUCUGCUGAAAUGAAGGGGAUUAAGACCGAGUCCAAGGACUUCUAUAACAUCUUCCCCCUGCAGCUUCAAGAAGAAAUACAAGAGAUUCUCAGAUGAAAAUAAGUUAAUUUUGCUUUGGGGAAAAGCCAAGAACUCUUAGCCAACCCACUGUUUUACCUUAAGAACUUCCGUGGGUUACUGGAUCAGAAGGCAGUCAUUAUCAGACUGGAGUGUCACACUUUAAGAAACACAGACACGAAACACAAGGAUGUUUUCUGACAUCAGAUGAUGAAAGGAUGUUGAAGGCAAAAACCAGCUUUUCACCAGCCAGGAAGAGCUGAACUUGGAGUGCACAUUUAAAGACAAGACAAGCAAAAGACUUAAACAGAAGGAAGACAAGUACUUUCAUGGUUUUCAAGGACAAACAUUUCAGAAGUGAUAAUGGAGACCAAGGAGAAUAGGUAAAUGAGUUAAUAUUUUAGAUGACAGUUGUUUGCAUUGAGAUUUUAAGGCUUGUCAGGUUUUCCCAAAUGAAAUGUAGAUAGGCAAAAACAAAUGCCUGUUCUCUAGAGGUAAAAGUGAAUUA
rnacentral:lncRNA from 1 species